AAAAAAACACGACUCCUCUCUCUCUCUCGAUUGAUCAAAGAAGCUGAUGAACAAACGCCGAUUUCGUGAGAUUCCGAUGAGUCUAUGCCGGAAUUGUGGUAUGUGAGACUUACCUACCGCCGGAAUCAUCAACGGGAUAGACGGUUAAGACCAUCGGCGAAUGGAGUCAAAACGAAUCGAAGAUUGGCGAUGGAGAAGAAGGAUUCGUUGAAGGAUGGUCCAAUUUCUUGUUCCAGCAAGAUCAGUUUCAUACUCUUCCUCGCCGACAAUGAUCCCACCACCGGUCAAAGCUGGUGUCCAGGUCUCUAUGACUCUCUUAGGGGUUUCUCAAUUUUCGUCCAAUUUCGAUCGAUUUCAUCUUCUCGAUCGAUUCAAUGGUUUUGAUUGGUGAAUCAGACUGUGUUAGAGUUGAACCUGUGAUUUACAAGACUCUAGAGGAAUUUCUAGAGGAGGGGAAUCUUAUUCGUGCUUAAGCCGGUGACAGACCGGCGUGGAGAACUCCGACGCAUUCGUGGAGAGUUGAUUCUCGGUUUAAGCUCAUCGGAGUGCCAACUCUUGUUCGUUGGGAUGGUGACUCUGUUAAGGGACGGCUUGAGGAUCAUCAAGCUCACCUGAUUCUGCCCCUUCUUGCGCCAGCCACUUGAUUCGAUCGAUUUCUCGAGACUAUGUUCUAUGUUUUAGAGACUAUGGUGGGAUUGAGGAUUUCUUUGUGUUGUUUUCCAAUAAGUCAUCAUUCAUCUGCUGGGAAUUGCUUUCAUCUCUGCUUAACAACUCUCUUAAUCUAGAAACUCUCAUCAUCAAGUUAUUAUACAAAAGCAGUUAUAUGUUGGAGGUCGGGGACGUUUCCAACUUUCCAUUGUGUGAUGGGAGUCAUGUGAAGCACAACAAAGCUAAUAAUGGAGAUAACGUUGGUCAUCUUCUUCUCAAUAACUAAAUCAUUUGUGUCUCACUUACAAGAUUGGCGCCAAGGCUCGCUCUCACAUUGGCUGCUCAAGAAACACUAGCUAAGUUGGUUAGAGUGAGAAGCAAGAUAUGAAACUACACUCAUACGUUUCUCCUGGUUAUUAUUUCCACAUUACUACUCUAAACUCAGUUUUGUUGAAGACAUCAAAUCAUGUAAUGGGUACUUUAAACCUUUUUAAAACAAUCUUAUUCCUAUGUACAUUACCAUCUUCCUUAUUGAUCAUAGUCUCAUUUUAAUUGA